GACGAACCGUGCAAACGUUGUUCGGAAUCACUGGGCUUAAAGGGCGCGUAGGCGGCCAACCAAGUCAGUGGUGAAAUCCUGCAGCUUAACUGUAGAAGUGCCUUUGAUACUGGUUGGCUCGAGGGAGGUAGGGGUAUGUGGAACUUCUGGUGGGGCGGUGAAAUGCGUUGAUAUCAGAAGGAACGCCGGUGGCGAAAGCGACGUACUGGACCUCUUCUGACGCUGAGGCGCGAAAGCUAGGGGAGCAAACGGG
rnacentral:rRNA from 1 species